UCUGGUGACCAGAGCGUGGUGGAACCACCCGGUCCCAUUCCGAACCCGGAAGUGAAACGCCACAGCGCCAAUGGUAGUGGGACGAUAGGUCCUGUGAGAGUAGGUCGUCGCCAGGU
rnacentral:rRNA from 1 species